UUUUUUUUUGUGCCCACACGGUUUUUACUCGUGUGCACAAAAAAUCAUUUUGCAAAAAAAUCACAGAUUAUUCAUUAAAAAUAAUAAAAGAACAUAAAUUAGCCAGAAAUAUAUAAAAAUUAAAAAUCCUAUGCAUGCAAAAAAGGUGCCCAUGAUGUUUGUACCUAAAAUGCCAUGCAUGCAAAGAGGAAAUUACCAUGAUAUGCUGAAAAGCACGAGGCCGUGAGCCGUUCGCUCGAGAUCGACUCGUUUUUUGGCUCGAAUCAAGAUUGAUUCGAAAAGAAACGAGCUGAGUACGAACACUUUUUGUAGCUUGAUUGAGAAAUGAGCCGAUCUUGAGCCGAUACCGGCUUGCUCGAUUUUAACUCGAUAGCUCGGCAUGAUAUGUUAAAUGAUCAUGCCAUAUAUUAAAUGAAAAUAGGAUAAUUUAUUACCAUAUAUGCCGUCUAGGAUUUUUCUCCACUUUAUUUACAAGAAACAUGGAGGCUUAAUUAAUUAUAGACUAAAUUUAGCCCUUAUUAUGGUACAUGGUUGGUCGUGUGUUAAAUAUUCUGUUGUUUCUGGCAAAAGUUCACAUCAUAUUCACCUUCAGUUUUUUUUUCUUUCACUCGAGAAGACCACCGUCUGCUGCCAGUUCGUCCAACAGAAGAUGAGCUCUCUCGAGUAUGAAGAGAUUGUUGUACCUUCAAUUGGAGCAAGCCUGUUUUUUUUUCACUUUCACGUCAUCUAGUUGGUACUAAUAUAGUUUAUAAAUAAACGAAGGAUCUCUGAAUUUUUCUACUAUUAUUUUUCUAGAUCUGAGUUAUAGUUAGACUGUUCAAGUGCAAAGUACUAUUGGAUAGGGAGACAUGGUGGUCUUCUUUAGUAAUAGAGAAACAGUACUGGAAUAUGAUUAAGAGAUCUCUGAAACGUGUAUAUAUGAAUGAACGGUACUAAAAGACUUUUGGCCAAUAAUUUGUUUUCCCAGUGUAUAUAUGUCAUGAAUUGUUAUAAUAUAUCAAUACUAGACAUUCAGUUGUGCGAGAAUAAGCCAAACUGCUUCUAAGAAAUUUAUAUUAUCAUCAUUCUGAUUAGAAAAAAAAUUAGUGCUUUUUUAUGUCGUGUUGUGCCUUAUGUAGUUGGAGUAAUAGUCGUAUAUUUUAUAUUUUUUAUCAUCUCAUUUAGCUCGAAAAUAGCUCGAGAUCGUUACAGCUGAUCAUGAGUCAUGUUCUACUGCUCGACCUUAAGCUUUAUUAAGUUUGAGCUCGCUCGAAUUUUAAUAUGAGUUGAGCUGAGCCAAGUCCAACUCGCUCGAACUCGACUUGUUUGCCUAGCCAUGGUUUUUUGCCAUCGUAUAGACACUAUGGCAUAGGCCGUGGGGAAAAACAAGAAAUAUAUACACUUUGCCACAACAAUUAUGGAGCUGCCAUGGCAAGAAACUAUUUUUUUUUGUCAUGACAACUAAAAAUCACAAGGAUUUAGACACGCAGGUAGUAGAAAAGUGCCAUUUUGCUAGCUAACAAAAUGCCAUGUUUUUGGGCAAAUCAUGUAGAAACUGCCAAGGGCAAAAAUAAUGGCAAAAAUGCCAAGUUCUAAAUUUUGCCAUGUCACUAAUUCACAAAAGUGUAACAAGAAUAGAUUUGCCAUGGCACAUAAACUUGAAAUGCCAUGUCUCUAAUUUAAAGAAAAUACCAUCCUCUAAAUAAUAAAAUUGCCAUGUUACCUAGAAUAAAACUACCGUGUUAUAAAAGGUAAAAAUGCCAUGGUCUAAAAUAAGUAAAAUUGCCAUGGUGCCUAAAACGAAAAGUUGCAUAUGGCAAAAAAAAAAACUUGAGCCAAAAAAUUUUUAUGAUGUGGUGGUGAUUAUCUACAGAAAUGCCAUUAUUAACAUUUGGCCAAAAGUGGACCAUUCAAAACAAUCAUACAAAAAAUGCCUUGCGAAGCAAAUUCAAACAAACAUACAAUUUGCCAUUCCAAUGUUUGAACAAACAUUCCUACUAUUCGCUCAUAGGGACAAAAAAGGAUGCCAUGCAAUCAAAACUGAGAUAAUGAAAUAAUGACAUCAUGAUAUAUGAAACAACUCUAACAAUUUGCCAUGGGAAUAAAAUGCCAUGGCAAAAAAAUGUAACUUCUGGCAGAUUACAAUUUCUUCAUAGUUAGCUGAAUUUUGCAAAAAUGUGACAAAAUAUUAGGACUCCCAAGUAUUAGGUUCUCAUGGCAAAUGUAACAAAAAUAUCAUGGCAAAAAUGACUCAAGCCAAUGGCAAUUUGCAAAAGGAGGACAAGUACUGUUGUACAUGGCAAAAAUUAUCUAAAAAAUGCAAAAAUGGUCAAUGAUGCAUUAGGAUCUCGUUUCAAGUUUCUCACGGCAGUAAGAUGUCAACAAAUGUCCACUACAGUUUCAGAAGAAAAAAAACUAUACAAGGUAUUGUAUUUGGGAGGGGUAGAGCUGAAGUGGACGCGGUGGAGCUUGCCCACGCCGGCGGGGAGCUCGCGGAUGGCAAUGUAGACUCCGGGCUUGCGGACAAGUUGGACGAUGGCGUUGGGGAUGCAGAUCCAAGUGAGGAGGCACGGGAGGUCGCCAGAGAUGACGACCACGGAGGACGGAGGCAGGCAGCAGCGGCGUGCCGUAGGAGAGGGCGCGGAGCUCUUGAAAAGCAAGCAGCGGCGACAACAGGAGUUACAGAGAGGAGAUGAAAGACCACGAGAAGAGGGGAAGGAAGAAGAGAACGGCGGCUCACCAGAGAACGGUCGGUGGCGGGGAGCGGUCAACGGUGGGGGCGCGGUCGGCAUCAUGGCCGCCGCCAUGGUCGCCGGGACCCCUCUCUCUUUCCUCUCUGCACACAGACUCUCUCUAAAUGUAGGGGGGCUAGGAGUUUUUUUUUCUUCGGAAAAAUGAAAUCUCUCACCACAACACAGCGGAAUAAAUAAAAAUAAGGCAAUUCCAAGUAUAGAUAAAACUAAGAAUGGAAUUGACUUUGAGGAAAAACUACUACGAACUACUGAGAUAUAUCUAGCAGAACUGAUGUGAGGAGAAUCACCAAGUAGCUGUAGAUGAAAAACAUGCGAACAUACAAACAUAUCGACUUAAGAAUGGCGAGACAGAAUACGAGGGAUAACAUGAUGAACAAACAUAGAGAUAUGUUAUUCAGUUACAAAGAACUGAUCACAGAAUGAGAGGUAUGCUGGUACAGCCGGUGGGGUGGCCGGAAAUGGUGGCGGCGGGGUGACCCGAAACCCAAGCGCCCUGCCCUUUACAAAAAAUUGAUGUUUGUUCCAGCUUGUGCUUCUAGGAAGCUAGAAGUAGCAAAAGCUGAAGCUUUAGCCCAAACAAACAGGGGCAUGGUAUUCAAAUCGCUUCAUAAUUGAGUUAUGAAGUCAAUCUACAGACAGCGGAAGCAAAAGAUAUCGUGCAUAAAAUUGUAAAAGUAUGCAGAUAUGGCAGAUGAAUUUAAUUAUCUGCUCCCAGGGCAGAAACCUCUGCGGUAGCACAGGUCAGCAGUAGAAUCUUGAUAUGCUUGUGCAGAUAUAUUUUUACAGCGCUGAAAAACAAAUCCCAUCAGGUGGAAGUUAGUAUCUGUCGAGCCUAGCUCUGGUUUGCAUAAAGAAUAGCCAGCAAAUGCAACACCUCAGAUCAAUGACAGCAUUCUUUUUUUAAUUAAGAACUGAAUGCGUAAGCAGCUGCUGGAUUCAACUGUCGAUAUAACAGUAUCAGCUGUGGUGUCCAAAACUUUCGGUAAACCAUUCCGCAACAAUGCUCUUAGAGGCACUGAGUAAAAUGAAGACAGCUUUACAACACCAGAAGGUUGCCAAUGCACACAAAAAAAAUGUCAGCGCACAGUUUCCUAUCCCAGACAAUGCAAAAUAAAAUAAAAUGCUCGGUGCGAAAGUAAGUUAUCAUGCAUGUAUCAGGUUUAGUAUAGCUGUAUAAGCACUUGUGGCAGAAAGAAACUAACACUAUUUAGCCUUUUAAACAAAUACACAAAUGUGCAUUGUUCUGCAUUUCACCCGACAUGGUGGCAUGUUAAACCAAAUUCAUCGGGCAUGCCUCUGAAUUGGCUGCAACUAACGCAAUUGUGUUUCUCAACUCACUACAUGGCUUCAGACUGGCAAUUCCUUGAAUGGCUUGUUGCCUUAUUCAUCUUUUCAAGUAGAAUUAUAAGAUAUAUCAAAUUUAGUCUGAACAUUUCGUGAUGCCUACAAGGAAUAGCAAUUGCAUUAACACAUUGGGCUGCUUAAUUUACCAUGACCUUGGAACAGUCCAUGCACGUAGGGUUACAUUCCUAGGGUUCAGUCAAGCCACAUAGAUACAAUUUUUAAUAAAUGGUUCCAUAAAUUAUUUGUCAAAGGAAACACCAAGGAAACAUCUCAGUAACAUGUCAGUAUGAGGAGCAGUUCUGAUUAAGUAGUUAAAGAAUAUUGCAGUUAUUAUAUCUCAAAUAACUUGGUUGGGGUAACAAGGGUUUGAUGGCAUUAGCCACAUGGCACAUCUUCAUACAUGAGGGAACUACUUACCAAGAUCCAUUUUUACAUAUGAAGAAAUUAAAAAAUCUCCAACGUCUGGUUCCUCGUUUCUCCAUGCUGAGGAUCACCAGCCUUGCAAGCUAAAUAACAGCACUUGAGUUAGCAUCAGGAAAAAGACAAAUUAGAAAACACCACGAAAAGGGAGUUCGGAAAAAAUAAAUGAAAUGAUGCACUUUGCCACUUUCUAAACUGGCAACACAGUAUAAUUGAUGAAAUGACAUGUUUGCAAUUGUUUGGAGCCAUCUUUGCAUAUUUUCGUAGAGCAAACUAAACAGGGCAUGAAUAGAGCAAACUGCCCAAGUGGCAAAUGAAAAGGGUGGUUCAUCACAGGAAAAAAAAAAGAGUUUGCCUCUUAGUCUUGCCUGGCUUUCGUGCCCUGGUCAAGCAAUCUGACCACCAAACGACGGCCACUGGAGGCGGCCGCCGGCAGUCAGAUUUCUGAUCUCCGACGCACCUCUCCACUCUCCACCCUGCCUCCCUAUCCGAGUCUCCUUGAAGCCCUGAAAAUUUAUCUGCAAUUGUUCAAACCCGAUGGAGGUCAAUUUUCUAUAGCAGUACUCCAAAGAUUGAAGAAAAAAAUCGGAUAGGCACCUGACAUAACGAGGAGACAGAAUCCACAGAAAGCAUGGAUUAUUAAGAGUUUAUCUGGUACUGCAACAAGAGCUCACAACAUCAAAAGGUAUACAGCCACAGCCUGACAAUCACGCAAAAAGGGCAUAAACUUUAAUGCACACUUGGUAUCAUAUGCAAGUAGGAAAAUUGUCGAAUACGCAGAUAGACUUAGCAUUAUGUUUUCCAGACAGUAACAUUCUAGGUAGCUGAUAAUUCAUGUUGUCAGUAUCACAUCCAGCAUUAACAUGUUUUAAUACAAAGGGCAGCAGUAAAAGCUCAAUAUAGUUGUGAAGAUAUAUUUUUAUAGCACUGACAAGUAGAUUAGAUGCUAUCUAGCGGAGCCAGCUUGCAUCUGUUAAUGCCUAACUCUGUUUGCAUAAAGCAUAGCCUGUAAACAUUGUAAGCAGAUUGGAUAACACGCUCAACUUAGGUUAAACAUUCUAACAAUCUGCUGGGCUUAAAUCAUGAUAUAACAAAUUAACAGCAUAGAUUCAUUCAUACCUGUUAAAGAACACACAUAACCCCUGAUUGGUGCAAAUCAGAGGAGGCUUUAGUUUACCAGCCAUAGUAUUUGGAGGAGAUAAUAGGACGUACAAAGAUAAUAUACUACUGCAUUAUUCAGUUUUGAGUCAAGUUGUGCCUCAAAAUGAAAGCAUCAGCCAUUAGGCUAAUCAGAAAUAUAGGAGAAAAAUAAAUGAAAAAACUGAUACAAACUAGUAAAUCAUGAAUUACUUUCACAGCAUUUAGCAUCUUCAAACAAAGAUACUGCAGAAAGAAUGAAGAUAUUCAGCUUACAAGAACUAGAGCAAGGAACCAACAAACUAAAUCAAAACUGCAUCAUCGAAACCAACACAUUGNNNNNNNNNNNNNNNNNNNNNNNNNNNNNNNNNNNNNNNNNNNNNNNNNNNNNNNNNNNNNNNNNNNNNNNNNNNNNNNNNNNNNNNNNNNNNNNNNNNNNNNNNNNNNNNNNNNNNNNNNNNNNNNNNNNNNNNNNNNNNNNNNNNNNNNNNNNNNNNNNNNNNNNNNNNNNNNNNNNNNNNNNNNNNNNNNNNNNNNNNNNNNNNNNNNNNNNNNNNNNNNNNNNNNNNNNNNNNNNNNNNNNNNNNNNNNNNNNNNNNNNNNNNNNNNNNNNNNNNNNNNNNNNNNNNNNNNNNNNNNNNNNNNNNNNNNNNNNNNNNNNNNNNNNNNNNNNNNNNNNNNNNNNNNNNNNNNNNNNNNNNNNNNNNNNNNNNNNNNNAAAAAAGGUGGGGUACAGAAAUUUUCAUCGAAGGGAAUUUAUGUGAGUUCAUUUGAAAUUAGAUUAGCUCAUAUCAUCUCCGUGGCCAAACUGAGGAUCUUCCUUCAUGGAAAGAUAUCAAGAGUGCAUGCAUACUCACUGAUAUUGCAGAAUGAACUGAUAUUGCAGAAACUUUCAAUAUGUGUGUCGAUAUGGCGCAAGGAAGAACAAGUUCAUAACCAUGCCAUGCUUUCUUCUCUAAUGAACGAUGACAUGGAGAUACCAGGAGUCAUGUCUCUAAUAAUUAGCUUCAUGAAGCAUUAGCAACUAACAAACAAGCAGUGACAGACAUACUAUAUCAGACAGCCAACAUUUAGUUAGGCAAGAACACUGAAACAAAGCUUACAAGCUUACUGCAUAAAGUGGAAUAUGUGGUACAGUAAGCAUCAAAAUUUCAAUAUUGUGUUCUCAGUUCAUGCAAAUACGAAUCUAGCCGGCACUUCCCCUCCGCAAGCGGUUGCAUAGUCUUCAGCGAGGUAUGGUGCAGCUUCCUUGUAAGGGCACAUGUACCUCUGCGCGAAAACAUUCUCAUUCACCUUGACAACUGUAUAAUAGCUCGGAUCACCCUUGAGCAAUCCAUUUUCCUUGAGAAACUUUAAAACGUAGUACCGGGGCCUGAGCCGGCGCUCCAGGCUAAGACAGAUAAUUACAGGCCGAUGAGCAAUGAAUGCUGGUUCCAAGCCCACCUCAGAGAUCAGGAACUCUGACUUGCUCUGCAGCAUGUGGUGAGACUUGGUCAGCAGCAUCGGAUACUUGGACACAGCAACGCCGACCUCAGCAUCUGACCACCCAAACGUCUUCUUCAAGUAAUCCAAUUUGGCGGUGACCUUCUGUUCGCCGACAAAUGCGACAGCAUGCAGCGCGUGCCUGAACAUCCCGGACCGACGGGGUAUGCCGAGGCCUUCGGCGCACAGCACCAACGCCUGGAUGCGCUCCGAGCCGGAGGUGAGCAGGCAUGGGAGAGUGACGCACAGCUUGGCAAUGUCGCAGUCAGCUAGCCCGGACUCCCGCAGGAAGGUGACGUUGGGCUUGACCACCCUCUCCAGGUCGGACGAGACGAGGCAGGAGCCAUACCUCAGCACCCCGAGGAGGUUCUCGUAGGACCCGACGAGAGGCAGGUAGUAGUGCAGCUUGGAGACGAUGGAUCUGCAGCGGAAUUUGUCGGGGGCGAGCGAGACGAGGCGGGUGACCUCGGAAGGCGACAGGCCGAGGCCGGCGAGCCCCGCGGCGACGGGGGACAGGGUUCUCCCCACGUCGGCGCAGAGGAACUUGGGGUCCUUGGCGACGAGGGCGGCGGCGUCGGCGCCGGAGAGGCCGAGGCCGGCGAGGAAGGCCAGGACGGCGUCGGGGUUGGAGGGGAACUUGACGUGGGAGAGCUUGGCGGAGGCCUUGAGGGCCUGCGGUCGGGUGAGGCCGCAGGUGGAGACGAGGUACUCCUCCACGGCGAACCCGGUGCUGGGGGCGACGGCGGGGGCCGGCGCCGUGGUGGAGAUGAGGCGGUGGAGAGGAGAGACGGGGAAGACGGAAGGAUACGGGAGGAGCUUGGCGAGCACGCUGCGCCGGAGGCGGAGCAUGGCGGCGUCGGCGAGGCGGCGCCGCCGGCGAGGGAAUGGUGCGAGACGGAGGGGAGAGUGGUGAGGGUUUGCGUCGGUGUGGCGUCUGGUCCACCCUUGAUGGGCUGGGCUGGACUGAGUUGGACUAUAGAGAAUUAGAGACCCAUUUAGAUCAGCUCAAGUUGAUAAAAAAACAAUUUAGAUCAGCCCAAAUGCCCUAAAAAUAACCACCCAACAAAAAUAAGGUUCUCUAAAAAAACCCAAGAAAAAUAAAGUGGCUAGUUAUUAUUAUCAGAUCAAAAGUGACUGAUUUAGAUGAUAUUGUGUCUCAAAAGAACUUUGGAUGAUAUUUCUCCCAAAAAUAUAUGUGUUUUUAUUUAUAUUUUUCUUCCUCGUUGUGAUUUCAAGAACAUAAACAUGUGUGCCCUAAUCACAUGCCGCGAGGGAGGGAGAUUGAGUGGCCAAUAAUUGAAAGAAAUGUGAUCACAUUGAAAUGCAAAUACAAAUGUGAGCGCCGGGAUAUAAACUAGUUUGUUGAGUGAAGCAAUGUUGGAGCAACAUUGUGUAUCGAUUCUUUUCUUCGCACAAGUUAAGGCAUCUCUAGCCAACCCCUUAAAAGGUUUAACUCCUCAAAAUAUUCUUUUUUAGCCUAACUCCUAUCAAGUUAAUUCCUCAAAAUUUUGAGGAGUUACCUUUCAAAAACUUAACAACUCUCUCACUUUUAAGGGGCCACGACAAGUUCUCAGCAAUAAUCUUCCCCAUUCACAAUGCCUUCUCCUUCCGCUUUUGCCGCCACAUGUCGCCACUUGUAGGGCAUGAGCAACUAGUAAAUAGAUCCAAUAUCCAAAGUGUGUGCACAAAUGAGGAAAGCAAUAUCGGAGGACCAUAGCGGUCUUCUUCACCAAAAUCUUGCCCAACAUUCUUUCAGUUUUUUUCUUUCUCGCAUCUGCACACACAACAUUCAGCGAAAUGUUGGACAAAUGAAUUCUAGAAAUAAGAAUGGGAGAAUCAUCUACUCUUUACACUUGGUUAAGUGGUUUUCAUCACAGGUCUUCGGUGUAUUAGAGACUAAAUGUGCACUUUAUACUAAGGUAAAACAAUUUUAAGCAUUUAACUUUUGGUGCACUCACAUGAAAAUAUACCCAUUUAAGUGGAUUCAUUGGACAGCUAUGCACAUCGUCAUUUCAUCAUGAGUUUACAAAAAUAAAGAGAAGAAAGUAAUAGUAUGAUAUCCGAAAGAUCUUGAUCCUGAAAUAACAAUAGAAAUUUCUUGCACAUUUUCUCCUUUCUUUGAGAAAUAAAAUGCAUGUCAGAUUGUUAUAGGACAGAAAAUAAAAUUCAAAAAAGUUAGAGAAGUAGGAGCUUCCCUGAAUAAAAUCCAUGCUGUCGUCAGGCCAUACUUGUCAGUUGUCACUGAAGCUUCAGGGUAUCAUUAACUAACAGAGCCUUCAGAAUCAUGCAUAGUAUAUCAAAUUCAUGGCCGUCAUGUUUCAUCUUGUCCGCCGGAAAAAGACAAAAGCACCAUCUAUCCAGUUUCACAUCAAGAACAAACAAAUAUGCACCAUCCUCAAACAAAUUGGUUCUUAAAUUGAGGUGCAUAGCAUGUCUAGUCUACUAUACAACAUGGCCUCCCAUCUGCCUUUUUUCUUUUCCUUUACCGACUUGCCAGAUAGAAAUUGCAAAUAAGGAUAGUGCAUAAAACCACUUGACUAUCCUAUGCUCAGGGAUAAAGAUGUCCUCAUUAUCUAUACAGAUAGUGCUAAUAUGGAAUAAAAUUAGCUUAAAGAUAUGGCUGAAUUAACAUUGUAAUGAUGUCAUAAGCCUUUCUAGGGUUACCAUAAUAUAAAUUCCUUUACUGUAUGAGACGACAUCUGCUUUUCAACACUAUACCAUACAACUAUCGAUUUGCUUCUACGGUAAGAAUACCAGGGCAUUUGAAAUAUCUGUUACGUCGUAGUGAUAUACAAGUAAACUGUCAAGAAAAAUGCCACUAGCCUACUACUCAACUAUUCAGUUCUGAGAUCAAAUGCCCCUGGAAAAGUAUCAGCUAGUAGGCCAUCCAAAAAUACAUGAGACAAAUAAACAAAUCAACUUGAUACAAACUAAUGAAAUCUCAGAAGAACUAGAUCAAAACUGCAUCCUCAAUAGUGAUCAGCACAUUGUGGCCAACAGGCCAACAACAAAUCCAAAAAUGUUUCCCGCGGAAAAAGAAGUUCAAAAUUUUCAUGGCUAUUUCAGAACAUAAAGACAGUGUGCAGAAAUACUACUCACUUCAAAGCAUUAGUAGGAUGCCGUGAUCUCACACUCUCCUAGUUCCAAUAUAUGUGUCAAUAACAUGAGGAAUGAACGGCUUGAUGCAGAGAGUGAAACUUCUGUUGUGUCAUACCCGGUUAUGAAAUUUUCAUACAGGCCUUGCUUCAUGUAAAUCUGAAUCUAGCCGGCACUUCCCCUUUGCACGCUGCUGCAUAGUCUUCAGCGAGUUGUGGUGCAGCUUCCUUGUAGGGGCAUAUGAACUUCUCCAUGAAUACCUCCUCUGGCAGCACGACUGCACAAUAGUAGUCUCGGUCAUGAUCUAGCAAUCCAUUUUCCUUAAGAAACUUCAAAGUGUAGUACCGGGGCCUUAGUCGGCCCUCCAGGCUGUAAGUGGGCAAUGUCGGCCGAUAAGCAAUGUAUGCCGGUUCCAACCCCACCUCAGAGAUCAGGAACUCCGACUUCCUCUGCAGCAGGUCCUUGGACAACGCCAGCACCAUCGGGGCCUUACAAAGAGCAAUGCCCACCUCAGCAUCGGACCAUCUGAAAGUGUCCUUCAAGUACUCCACUUUGGCGGUGAUAUCCUUCUCGCGGAGAAACGCAAGGGCAUUCAGCAUGCGCCAGAACAUCCUGGAGCCACGGGGCACACCUAGGCCUUCAGCGCGCGCCGCCAUCGCCCGGACGCGCUCCACAUUGGAGGUGAGCAUCCUCGGCUGAGCGACACACAGCUUGGCAAUAUCACAAGCACCUAUCCUGCACUCCCUCAGGAACGCGGCGUUGGGCUUCACCACCCUCUCGAGGUUGGACGAGAGAAUGUAGGGGCUGCGGUCGAGCACCCGGAGGAGUUUCCCGGAGGAGCCGAAGAGGGCCAGGUAGUAGUGCAGCCUGUAGAUGAUGGCUCUACAGCGGAACUUUUCGCCGGCGACCGAGACGAGGUGCGCGAUCUCAGGACGCGAGAGGCCGAGGCCGGUGAGCCCGUCGACGACGGGUGCCAGGGUCUUCUCCACUUUAGCGCAGAGUAGCAGCGGGUCCUUGGCGACGACGGAGGCGACGUCGGCGGCGGAGAGGCCGAGGCCGGCGAGGAAGGCGAGCACGGCGUCGGGCUUGGCGGGGGACUUGAGGUGGGAGAGCUUGGGGGAGGCCUUGACGGCCUGUGUUCGCGUGAGGCCGCAAGUGGCGACGAGGUACUCCUCCACGGCGAAUCCGAUGUUUGGGGAAACGGCGGGCGCGGCCGCGGAGAUGAGGCGGCGGAGAUGGGGUACGGGAGAGGUGGCUGGAGAAGAGAGGAGCUGGGUGAGGACGCAGCCACGUAGCCGGAGCAUGGCGGCGGCGGACGGCGGCGGCGGCGGCGGCGGCGAGGGGAUACGUGGAGCGGUGGUGCGAGCGAGAACGAGGGAGUGGUGAAGAUGACCUGCGUGGUCUGGUAUUUGACCAAGUGGGCCCCGUGCGUCAGUCUCAUGUUGACUGCCGAUUGUCUAUCUUAUACUCCUCCUGUCUUUUUUUUUCCUCCGCGUAUUAGAUUUUUGUCAACCCAAACAUUCUAAAGUUUGACCAAAUCUACAUUAGAAAAUAUUAAUAUCUACAAUACCAUUUAUAUACACACACACACACUAUGAAACUACAUUUCGUAACCAAUUUAACAAUAUGUUUUGGCAUUGUGAAUGUUGAUUUUUUUCUGUAUGUUUGAUCAAAAUAGAGAUAUUUUGACUGUGGACAAAACUUAUAUGCAGACUAAAAAAGACCGAAGAGGAUACAAAAAAUUCUUCUUUCAGAAAAUUUACUAUACAGUAAAAAUAUUCAUUUACAUAGAUAAAAAACACUCAUCUAGAGUAUAAUUAUAUACAAUAAAUAAACGUAUUAUAUCACCCACAAAAAAAGAAUAAACAUAUUAUAUGCCAAUGAAAUAUUCGUGUAUACUAAAGACACUAUUGAGACAAUUUAAGAAAAAUGCAGUCGUCAACAGUUGGAUACUUCGACGUAUGCCACUGCCACGGUGACAUUUUUUGAAUCAAAUUACUUUUCUAAUUUAUAGUGGUAUUUUUUGAAUACACGAAGUAGAUAUUAGCACAUACAGAGUGAACCAAAAAGAAUUGGACUGUUUUUUCUUUUCUUUUGCGAUUACAAGAGGUUGCCCUUGAUCACCUGAAGCUUCAAGCAUAACUCCACAAGUCGAAAGAUGUUGCAUUGGUAUCCUUUAGGACAAACCCGUGUGUAAAUACGAGCGCCAUGAUGACGAUUUGAUAAUUUGAUUUGAACUCCGUGAGUGGGAUAACUCCCAACAAUCCAGCACCCAUCCUCCUCCUCGAAUACGUCUCAUCCCGCUUGCAUAAUCCAUGAGCAACGGGUCCGGGGAUCGAACAUAAGCCGGUGAAUCACAAGGUGUUCAAUCGGUAUAAUUCCGGAUAUCACAAACCCCACACCAUAGUUUCACAAUUUGGGUCAAGCAACAAAGAACGCAUACACGAAAUUGUAUCAAACCACACCUACCAAGAUCAACAAAAACAAAAAACUUGCUGAGCACAAAUAGCUAUCAACUCACAAGGGGGCAAUGAGCUCUUUUAUGCGCUUAGUUUAACCGGGGCAAAAGAAUUGAAUCAUCUCCAAAGAAUAAUACAGUAGUACAAUAUACCAUGGUAUGGGAACAAGUACAGACAAGUAUAACAACAACAACAACAACAACAACAACAACAACAACACUUUCUACGACGUGAUCAGGCCUUCCUUUCUUACACUACUAGAAUAACAGACAGAUUAUCUCUAUCUUCUAUUCUCAUCAAAACCAAAAAAGAAUGAGGGGGUUGAACUGGUUUGCGCCUUCGAACAAUGAAUCAGGGGUAGAGGCGGAUUAUCUGUACAAUGGCAUCCAGAUGUUGCUUUUCAUCACACGCAACGAAAAAAAGGAUGCCCGGCUCUGUUCUCCUGCGCUCUAGUAAACAUAAUAACAACCAACAUAUAGCUACUAAAUACUCAAAAAACCAAGACUGUACUUAUGUAGUACGCGCCUGGCGCACCUCGGUUUCGGUGCGGUUUCCCCCAAGGUUUCAUUCAAAAUUGGAGGGGAUGUCUGUCCAUCUCUGUCCUGGCAAUCAUCACUUGAUUCGCUGUGAACAGCUCCUUUCACCUUUUAACUUAGUUGGGGUUUGCUGGAAGAACCGCGGUUAACCAAGGUUGUGUGGGCUGAAUCAUGGCUGACACGGCGAUCAUGCUGAGCAGUCACCUCACUUUUCAG
rnacentral:lncRNA from 1 species